CAGUAGCCACGGUAAUACGAGGGGUGCAAGCGUUAUUCGGAUUGAUUGGGUGUAAAGGGUGUGCAGACGGCUUAUUAAGUCACUUGUUAAAUUCUUCGGCCUAACUGAAGGUCUGCAAGUGAUACUGAUGAGCUAGAGGGUGGAAGAGAGAAGUGGAAUUCUCGGAGUAGCGGUAAAAUGCGUAGAUCUCGAGAGGAACACCAAUGGCGAAGGCAGCUCACUGAUCCAUUACUGACGCUGAGGUGCGAAAGCGUGGGGAGCAAACAGGAUUAGAGACCCCAGUAGUCCCUGUCUCUUAUAC
rnacentral:rRNA from 1 species